GCUGGGCAUGGUGGCUUAUGCCUGUAAUCCCAGCACUUUGGGAGGCUGAGGCUGGAGGAUCACUUGAGCCCAGGAAUUCGAGACCAGCCUGGGCAACAUAGUGAGACCCUGUCUCUA
ensembl:misc_RNA Metazoa_SRP Metazoan signal recognition particle RNA